rnacentral:rRNA from 1 species
GACGAACGCUGGCGGCGUGCUUAACACAUGCAAGUCGAACGAUGAAGGAGGGCUUGCUCUCCGGAUUAGUGGCGAACGGGUGAGUAACACGUGACUAACCUGCCCCUUUCUCUGGGAUAACGCUCCGAAAGGAGUGCUAAUACCGGAUACGAACUCUUAACACAUGGUCGGAGUUGGAAAGUUUUUCGGAAAGGGAUGGAGUCGCGGCCUAUCAGCUUGUUGGUGAGGUAACGGCUCACCAAGGCGACGACGGGUAGCCGGCCUGAGAGGGCGACCGGCCACACUGGGACUGAGACACGGCCCAGACUCCUACGGGAGGCAGCAGUGGGGAAUAUUGCACAAUGGGCGAAAGCCUGAUGCAGCGACGCCGCGUGAGAGAUGAAGGUCUUCGGAUUGUAAACCUCUUUCAGUAGGGACGAAGCGAAAGUGACGGUGCCUAAAGAAGAAGCACCGGCUAACUACGUGCCAGCAGCCGCAGUAA